rnacentral:rRNA from 1 species
GACGAACGCUGGCGGCGUGCUUAACACAUGCAAGUCGAACGGAAAGGCCCUGCUUUUGUGGGGUGCUCGAGUGGCGAACGGGUGAGUAACACGUGAGUAACCUGCCCUUGACUUUGGGAUAACUUCAGGAAACUGGGGCUAAUACCGGAUAGGAGCUCCUGCUGAAUGGUGGGGGUUGGAAAGUUUCGGCGGUUGGGGAUGGACUCGCGGCUUAUCAGCUUGUUGGUGGGGUAGUGGCUUACCAAGGCUUUGACGGGUAGCCGGCCUGAGAGGGUGACCGGCCAAAUUGGGACUGAGAUACGGCCCAGACUCCUACGGGAGGCAGCAGUGGGGAAUAUUGCACAAUGGGCGGAAGCCUGAUGCAGCAACGCCGCGUGCGGGAUGACGGCCUUCGGGUUGUAAACCGCUUUCGCCUGUGACGAAGCGUGAGUGACGGAAAUGGGUAAAGAAGCACCGGCUAGCUACGUG